GUAUGUGUGUGUUCGAGCAGAGGAGAAGAAAAGAGGGGGAACCCCUCAUGAACCCUAAUCAACGAAAUUGGAUGCGAAUUAGGCUGAAUUCGAAGUUGCAUGAGUCGAAAUAGUGAUUAUCUAAGCAAGCUUUAGCCAAGCGUUAGGGAUCACAUGGAAAUGGACUCAAGCAAGAAAGACUAACGGGUCAAGAGGGGACAAGGAAGCCAAUGAGAAAACGGACGCUCAAGGUACUACACGGAUUUUCUUCUACCACUAUCGAAGAUAAGCGGGCAUAGAUCGAGUCGAAUAACAAGGGUUGUACGGAAAGAACGGUUACGUAGUCUUAAUUUUGUAACGCAUUAAUUUGUAAAAAGGGAAGUGAAUUUUGUAAGCUUCUUCUUGAAUGUGUGUAUUGUUAUAAGAUCGUAAAGAAAAUUUUAAAGCUAA